rnacentral:misc_RNA from 1 species
CAACCCUCAGGGCUCCCUUUAGGGGGAGACCUGGCGUUGGGGAUCGGCCCGCCCAGCGCGGCGCCGUCCCCCAAAUUCAGUGGCGGUCUCGCUGCAGCCUCCCCUGCGUAGUAGUUUACACCUCGCACCGGAGCGCGGCUAGGCCACGCCGUAAAACCCCCGGCUUUCUGAA